rnacentral:rRNA from 1 species
CCUACGGGUGGCUGCAGUGGGGAAUAUUGCACAAUGGGGGCAACCCUGAUGCAGCGACGCCGCGUGAGCGAAGAAGUAUUUCUGUGUGUAAAGCUCUAUCAGCAGGGAAGAAAAUGACGGUACCUGUGUAAGAAGCUCCGGCUAAAUACGUGCCAGCAGCCGCGGUAAUACGCAUGGAGCAAGCGUUAUCCGGAUUUACUGGGCGUAAAGGGAGCGUAGGCGGCCUGACAAGUCUGAUGUGAAAUACCGGGGCUCAACCCCGGUGCUGCAUGUGAGACUGGCAGGCUGGAGUGGCGGAGAGGCAGGCGGAAUUGCUGGUGUAGCGGUGAAAUGCGUAGAGAUUAGAAAGAACACCAAUGGCGAAGGCGGCCUGCUGGGCGGUGACUGACGCUGAGGCUCGAAAGCGUGGGGAGCAAACAGGAUUAGAUACCCGGGUAGUC